AAAGUCACCUUCGGGUGAUGAGUACAGUGGCGGACGGGUGAGUAGCGCGUGGGUAAUCUACCCCUAGGUCUGGGACAACUCCGGGAAACUGGAGCUAAUACCGGAUAAGACCACGGAGCCUUUGGGCGCAGUGGAAAAAGGUGGCCUCUUCAUGAAAGCUGCCGCCUGUUGAUGAGCCCGCGUCCCAUUAGCUAGUUGGUGAGGUAAAGGCUCACCAAGGCAUCGAUGGGUAGCUGGUCUGAGAGGAUGAUCAGCCACACUGGAACUGAGACACGGUCCAGACUCCUACGGGAGGCAGCAGUCGGGAAUUUUGGGCAAUGGGCGCAAGCCUGACCCAGCAACUCCGCGUGAGGGAUGAAGGCCCUCGGGUCGUAAACCUCUGUCAGGAGGGAAGAACGCCGUGCGGUGAUAAGCCGCACGGUCUGACGGUACCUCCAAAGGAAGUGCCGGCUAACUCCGUG
rnacentral:rRNA from 1 species